CUGCCUUUCGAUGUUAUAGGUGUCGGCAGAAUACUCAGCUCUUUCUUCUUCAUAUUCUUUUGAGGUCCGAAAGUCCUCCACAGCCUUAAAAGCAGCCUCAACUGUUCACUUCUCCUCAGCCUCCGAUCGGGCCUUCAGCUCUCUUAUUUUCUUUUGCAGAUGAGAGUUCUCCUCGUUAGCGGCCUCGUUCUUCUUCGUCUGAGCUUCGAACUCCCUGUCUUGCCCAGC
rnacentral:lncRNA from 1 species